UUUAGGUGACUCUAGUUUUUGCACACUUUGUCCUCACAACUUCAUAUUUCAUCCUAUUUUCGUAUAGUAGACAUAUGGUUUUUCCCUUUGUACUUAUUCUUAUACUUUUUGGUGGUUCGACUGCUACCCGACUUUGAUAUUGAUUUUCAAGUCACUUUGGAGGCUUUUCAGGGAUAGUAUGGAUCCACAAUGUAACUUUAGAGGCAUCAUAGGAGUUUUAUUUUCUUGCUUGAUACAUUUUAACCCUCUUUUUAAGGUUUUAGAGCCCCUUUGUUCCUGUUUUAGUUUGAGGGAGAUCGAGUUACACUAAGACACUUUUGGGAUCUCUCUUGUUCUUCGGUAGAGUUCACUUCAUUCCACUCAUUGUUCACACUUUCAUUCCACUCCAUCACUCACAUUCCUUACACUCGAGAACUCUACCAAAGAGAGAUUUUCUAAUAUGAAAUAUUGCGUCCAUGGUUGCCUCAAAGAGCGUUCAUCCCUUUCUGCUUCUAGCCAAGUGACUCAUGGUCGCCAUGCCGCUCAACUUUAUCGUCAUCCUUUCUACCAUCGUUGUUUGGUUUCAAGGUGAGAUUAAUGGUAAAAAGGAAGUUUCCAUCUUGAUUUACAUAGUAAUUGUUUUGGGCUUGAAUUUGGGUUCAAGUCUACUUUCAAUAUUAUUUGGGCUUUGGUUUUGUUGGUAUUUAGAUUGCAUUUUUAAGUUGGGCCAGCUUUCUUAAUUGGACUUGAUUUGUUUAUUUAAGAUGUUGGGUUUGCAUAGUUAUUCAUUUAGGUUGCUAACUUAUGUAAUUUGGGCUUGCAUAUUUUGGAUAUUAAAUUGGGUUUGAUUAAAAUAUUUUCAAUGGGUUGUGACAUUUCUUGUAUUUUUUUUAUAUUUUGACACUGUGUUGAGAACGGGAAAAGCAAAAUGAGAGCAGUUAGGGUGGUUGAAGCAAGGUAUGGACAUAGACAGAAAGUUGGUGAAACCAAAUUUGGGAUAAAAAUGAUCACUGGCAGCUUGAGAAGAGAGGGGGGAGAUGGCUCUAAAUUCUCUCAAUCUCUUGGUAAUUUUUUUUAGCUUUAUUUGGGAAGUUAUGGAGAACCAAUGCUAAUGGGAUUGCACUGUAAAGUUGUAUGUUUAUCCAUAUCCUCCUAUUUAUUUAUUUAUUUUUGUA